GUCCCUGUAACUCAGUUGGUUAGGGCGCUGCACCGGAAUCGCAGGCCCGCCGGUUCGAUUCCUGCCAGGGACC